AAAGGCGCGGUCACCCGUUCCUUGACACCGGGGAUGUCCAGCCCGUGGCUACCGCAUGAAGGGCAGCUGAAGAACCGAAAGCAGGAAGAGAUCAAUGUGUGAUGGAGAGACCUGUUCACUUGUGGUGUUAUACCCAGUUAGGAAGGAUGUUGGGAUACAAAUUCAUAGAAGGGACACCAAAUUUCUAAUAAUGCAUCACUAUUUCUGAAGACAGAACUCGGCCCCCUGUUUCACAGAACUUCCGUUGACUGGCAGCUUACAAAAACAUGGACAUGUUGAACGGUGGGCAGCUAGAUUGAGGUCCUGGGUGGAUUCAAGGUGAUAAGCCCUUGAGAAAACCAUAAUGUGAUUAUCUUGCAGAGAGGUGGUAGAAUAAAUAAGAUUAUCCAUAACAAGCUUAGCUACUGAUGAGUUCAGGCUAUGCUGAUACAGAAAGUCCUGACACAAUUGUAAGCUACUAAGUUCAUCAUUCAGUGUGUGACAGCUUCGGCAGGAUGUAGACAGCACCCCACAAACUGGAACUUCCAUAAAUGAAUGUUUAGGGCGCUUUCCUGGAUGCAAAGAUUAUCCUCAAGCAAAGAGAAAUGAUGACUGAGAUACUUAAAACCCAAUUCUUUAAAGAGCUCAUGACACAAGUCCAGGCAUGCAGUUUGAAGUAAAGUUUGAAGACAGUCUAACUACUGGUUAAUAAUGACAAUGAAGUUCUUUGGUGGCUGGAAGAACACGAACUGCUGGUCCUACCAACCUUAUCUAUACUUUCACUCUUUUUCCUACUGCAAAAUGAGAGGAAAUCACUCACAGGCUCAUCAGAGUUAUGGCUCCUGACUUAGUAUUAAUCACAACUGGAGAGCACCACUGGGGUACGCUCACGACGCCGACACACUUCUGCUGCCGUGUUUUAUGAAGAAGGGGAAGACUGGCCCAGGCUGGUACAGGGAACCUGAAAACCCACGUGGUUUUAAACCUGCACUUCCUAAAUGAACACAACCUCUCAGGUGCCUGUUGUUGUACCACAUUUCAACGCCAGUAUUGUUCAAAAUGAUGGAAUGACCGAACUUUAUUUACCUCUGUUGUUUUGAAAGAAGAUCACCCAGCCUAAUGUUAAGAAGUUAGCUGGAGCCUUGAUGGAUCUCUUGCUCAGCAACUGGCCUUGGGAAAGUAUACUUUUUAUGCUUUUAUGGACUGAGUUACAUCUGUAAGCAACGCCAGAGGACUAUAGGACACCAGUUGUGGGGUUUGUUUUAAGUGAAAAAGUCUACAGAACUGGUUGCCUAAAGACAAAUACUUCCAGCCUCAAGCAGACCUGUUACUUCUGAGCUAUGAAGGACUGGAAAACUGGAAGACUCCUAGGUAGCCAGGACCAGAAAGUAGAGAAGAGGAUAGAAAGGCAAUGAAGCCAUAAAGACAAGUUGGAACGGCAUCUAAGCAGCACAGUGUGAUUUGGAGCAGAUAUGGCUGCCCUGAAUUAACAGCAGCUUCCUUCCAGAGACUUCAGCAUAACUGAGCGGGAUGGCUCUGCAGCUGGGUCCCUCUGGGCAGCACGUGUAUUGCAGAGCAAAGCAGGCACCUAAACCCCUUCAAUGUUAACUGCUCAUUGCUUUUAGCUCCUAGUCUAGAUAUUCAAGAUCAAACUGUUGACACCACACUCCACAUGAACUUACCAUUAUUAACAAGUGAUGUGUGCACAGUAGCAGCCAAACACGCAACUAUCCUGGGAGAAACAAAUUACAAUAGUACUGAAUAUAAUUACAUUCUGAUUGACACAGGAGGCAGCUAUUUGUCUUACCAGGAACUAGUAGCUAUGGCUGUAUCCCAUAGAGACAUCCAUGGUGGAAGAGCUCUUUUCUGAAGUAUUUCAUACUUUCAGAUUGAGAGGAGGACACAUGCAGUUUUCAAAUAAUCCUAGCAACAUGCAGUACGUGUGCUCCUUAUGAGAACUUCUACAGAAGCAACAUCCUUUUGAUCCCUAAAGGUGUUUUAUUUUUAAAUUGUUUGCAUUCAUACAGAUUUAGAAUCUGGAAAAAGUAGGUAAGUGAUAGACGCUACGUUUAUGGUAUCGGAUUGUAGUUUUAAUUAGGAAAGCAUUAUAUCCAAAAUACUGCAAAACUAUCUUUCUUUACUUCUUGCAAUUAAAAAAAUGUUAGUAGUUUG